GCCUGGAUGUGCUGCAGAGCUGGAGUCCAUAGGAGCGCAUACAUGAGGAGGCAGAGCAGAGGGGUUGCCAUCCAGCAGAGCCGGAGGAGACGAGCCCCCCAAAGGGGUUGCCAUCCAGCAGAGCUGGAGGAGACGAGC